rnacentral:rRNA from 1 species
AUUGAACGCUGGCGGCAGGCUUACCACAUGCAAGUCGAGCGAGCGGCGGACGGGUGAGUAAUGUCUGGGAAACUGCCUGAUGGAUGGGGAUAACUACUGGAAACGGUAGCUAAUACCGCAUACCAUCGGAUUUGCCCAGAUGGGAUUAGCUAGUAGGUGGGUUAAAGGCUGACCUAGGCGACGAUCCCUAGAUGGUAUGAGAGGAGUCCCAGCAACACUGGAACGGAGACACGGGCCAGACUCCUACGUGAGGCAGCAGUGGGGAAGAUUGCACAAUGGGCGAAAGUCUGAGGCAGCCAUGCCGCGUGUAUGAUGAAGGCCUUCGGGUUGUAAAGUACUUUCAGCGGGGAGGCGUUACCCGCAGAAGAAGCACCGGCUAACUCCGUGCCAGCAGCCGCGGUAAUAC